rnacentral:rRNA from 1 species
CCUACGGGUGGCAGCAGUGGGGAAUAUUGGACAAUGGGCGAAAGCCUGAUCCAGCCAUGCCGCGUGUGUGAAGAAGGCCUUCGGGUUGUAAAGCACUUUCAGUGGGGAAGAAAGCCUUGGGGCUAAUACCCUCGAGGAAGGACAUCACCCACAGAAGAAGCACCGGCUAACUCCGUGCCAGCAGCCGCGGUAAUACGGAGGGUGCGAGCGUUAAUCGGAAUUACUGGGCGUAAAGCGCGCGUAGGCGGUCUGAUAAGCCGGUUGUGAAAGCCCCGGGCUCAACCUGGGAACGGCAUCCGGAACUGUCAGGCUAGAGUGCAGGAGAGGAAGGUAGAAUUCCCGGUGUAGCGGUGAAAUGCGUAGAGAACGGGAGGAAUACCAGUGGCGAAGGCGGCCUUCUGGACUGACACUGACGCUGAGGUGCGAAAGCGUGGGUAGCAAACAGGAUUAGAUACCCGAGUAGUC